UGGGGGAUAUUGCACAAUGGGCGAAAGCCUGAUGCAGCAACGCCGCGUGAGGGAAGACGGUUUUCGGAUUGUAAACCUCUGUCUUCGGUGAAGACAAAAAUGACGGUAGCCGAGGAGUAAGCCACGGCUAACUACGUGCCAGCAGCCGCGGUAAUACGACGGUGGCGAGCGUUGUCCGGAAUUACUGGGUGUAAAGGGAGCGCAGGCGGGGAGACAAGUCAGCUGUGAAAACUAUGGGCUUAACCCAUAAACUGCAGUUGAAACUGUUUUUCGUGAGUGGAGUAGAGGUAGGCGGAAUUCCGAGUGUAGCGGUGAAAUGCGUAGAUAUUCGGAGGAACACCAGUGGCGAAGGCGGCCUACUGGGCUCUAACUGACGCUGAGGCGCGAAAGUGUGGGGAGCAAACA
rnacentral:rRNA from 1 species